GGGGGGACCAUCCUCCAAGGCUAAAUACUCCUGACUGACCGAUAGUGAACCAGUACCGUGAGGGAAAGGCGAAAAGAACCCCGGCGAGGGGAGUGAAAAAGAACCUGAAACCGUGUACGUACAAGCAGUGGGAGCACGCUUAGGCGUGUGACUGCGUACCUUUUGUAUAAUGGGUCAGCGACUUAUAUUCUGUAGCAAGGUUAACCGAAUAGGGGAGCCGAAGGGAAACCGAGUCUUAACUGGGCGUUAAGUUGCAGGGUAUAGACCCGAAACCCGGUGAUCUAGCCAUGGGCAGGUUGAAGGUUGGGUAACACUAACUGGAGGACCGAACCGACUAAUGUUGAAAAAUUAGCGGAUGACUUGUGGCUGGGGGUGAAAGGCCAAUCAAACCGGGAGAUAGCUGGUUCUCCCCGAAAGCUAUUUAGGUAGCGCCUCGUGAAUUCAUCUCCGGGGGUAGAGCACUGUUUCGGCAAGGGGGUCAUCCCGACUUACCAACCCGAUGCAAACUGCGAAUACCGGAGAAUGUUAUCACGGGAGACACACGGCGGGUGCUAACGUCCGUCGUGAAGAGGGAAACAACCCAGACCGCCAGCUAAGGUCCCAAAGUCAUGGUUAAGUGGGAAACGAUGUGGGAAGGCCCAGACAGCCAGGAUGUUGGCUUAGAAGCAGCCAUCAUUUAAAGAAAGCGUAAUAGCUCACUGGUCGAGUCGGCCUGCGCGGAAGAUGUAACGGGGCUAAACCAUGCAC
rnacentral:rRNA from 1 species